UUCAUUCAGAAGGUGGUGCUGGGGGAGAAGAAGAAAGUUGGGGGGAGCACGUUUGCCUCCCUUAACCUGGGAUGGACACAGGAAAAAGGUGUUUCCCCUCAAGAGAAGGAAAAAGCAUGCUUAAGUCAGGUAGGAAAAUGUCUCCUUUCCCUCUCUGCCCUCCCCCUGAGCCACAUCCCUCACUCCAUCUUGCCCGUUUACAUGUACUCUUAAGUAGCUCUCAAUUCAAUUGUGAAGAAGCAAUGAAUGGAUAUUCUUAAGAGCUAACUAAAAAUUUUAAAUGCACUCAAAACCAUACAAGAAGCGCAAGAACAUGGAAAUCCCAGCCUCUGAACCUUUGGGUAAUUAGAUGUGUGGUUAUUCCAAAAGCAUAUUAAAACUGUGAGUUCAAGAAGUAAAUACAUGAUCCUAUCUUAUGUUUCCACAAGUCAGGUUUUAUAGUUGUGUGGGGAUGGCUGUCAUUAUCAUCGUCAUCACCGUUAUCAGUUAAUAGUUUAUGGUGCUUCAAUUCAGAGCAGAUACCGCGUACCAGGUACUGUCGAGGAUUUUACCUUUCUAAAGAUACAGUCACUGUCUUCAAGGAGUGGUCGGUCUCCUUUUCUAGGAUCAAGGUUAGGAUGAGAGAUCUUCUUUGUGUGUGUGGCAGCACCAUGCAGCAUGCGGGAUCCAAGGAUCCCACUGACCAAGGAUCAAACUGGCACCCCCUGCACUGGAAGCUUGAAGUCUUCAGCACUGGACCACAGAGAAGUCUAAGAUGAAUGAAUUUGAUAUGCUGAUGGGUCUGGAAAGUCAAUGUAGCCCUGAAAGUCCCAGGAAGAGCGAAUACUGUGGAGUGUUAACUUCCAAAGUCCUUGCGGAGAUAACCAGUGUGGCUCCACAGUGGAAUGCUGCAGGGGCCAAACAGUGAAGCCUGAGAAAUCACCACUGGAUUCAGUCAUGCAAAAUGUUGGUGACAAACUUUCUAUGGUGAGCCCAGACAGGAACCAGGCAGCAAGAGGUUAACAAAUCAGACAGAACCAGGAACUGGAGAGAGGGGCUUGAUCACAAAAAGAAACCAAGAUGUGGGGUGAUAGCUGAGAGAGGGAGCAGAGCAGAGGGAAGAUGUUUCCAAGAAAAAAUAAAUUCAGAAGUGGCAAAUUUUGAUACUGAUUGAAGUUUGCGACUGGGUAAAAAGGAGCUCCGGCUUCCCAGGUGGCGCAGUGGUAAAGAAUCGGCCUGCCAAGGUAGGAGAGGCAGAAGAAGCGGAUUCAAUCCUUGAGUUGGGAACAUGGCUUGGAGGAGGAAAUGGCAACUUUCUUUGGUGUUCUUGCCUGUAAAGUCCCAUGGACAGAGCGUCCUGGUGAGCUAUAGUCCAUGGUCUCAAAGAGUUAGACACAACUGAGUACAAAAAGGAGUUCACUGUAAUUCUGUCUACUUGGCAGAUUUUUUUUUAAGUGUAGUUGAUUUACAAUGUUAUAUUAGUUUCAUAUGUACUGCAUAGUGAUUUAAUAUGUUUAGAUUAUACUCUAUAUAAAGUUGUUAUAAAAUAUUGGUUAUGCUUGACAGAUAAUUUUUAACUUCCAUAAUAAAAGUUUAGGAAGAGAAAGGUAAGCAACCUAGCAUAUGGGAAAGAGAGGAGCGAAACGAGUAAAGGGAGGUUACUAAAUGUCCAAGGCUUUCUCCUAGCUCAGUCUGUAAAGAAUCCGCUUGCAAUGCAGGAAUCUGCCUGCAAUGCAGGAGACUGGGGUUCGAUUCCUGGGUCCAGAAGAUCCCCUGGAGAAGGAAAUGGCAACCCACUCCAGUAUUCUUGCCUGGAAAAUCCCUUGGACAGUGGAACCUGGCAGGCUAUAGUCCGUGGGGUUGCAAGAGUCGGUUUAGCAACUAAAUGAUUGCUAAAUGAUUUAGCAACUAAACCACCAUCCCCACUAAAUGUAUAUGACAGAAUAACAAUAAUUGAGGGCACAGGGUCAGAGAAGGUGUGUUGAAGUGGAAACAAAAGCACAAGUGAGGGAAUUUACCUUCUCAUAAGAAACAUAAUGAAAAUCAAUGAAAAUAAGGAUGAAAUUUGAGUUGAAGAGGAAGUGUUGGUAUAAAAAUAUUAUAAAUGUAAAAGGAAGAUGAGAGACUUUCCUGGCCGGCUAGUGCUCAAGACUUCUAGUGGUCAAUCUUCCACUUCAGGGGGGUGAGGGUUCAAUCCCUAGUCAGGGAACUAAGAUCUUGCAUUCCAUAAGGCCAAAAAAAAAAAAAAAAAGAAGAAGAAAAUGAAUGAAGGAACAUGGGCCUCUUUUUCCACAGAGUGGGAAAAGAGAUUAUAAAAUGCAAAGGAAUGAGGACCAAAGGAGAGAGGGCUUGGGAAUGUGGAAAGGGCUACAAUAACAGUUUUGGAAUGCAAUGGGGAAUGAGUGACUAUGGGGAAAGACACACUGCUAAGCAGGGCCCUUCCAAUAGACAUCAGCAAAAAUUUUGAAUGGGUCCACACUUUGAGACUACUGUCUAAAGCAUGCAGAAAUAAGCAAGCCAGAGUGAUGAGAGUUCUCUUGCAAUCUCAGAACCUUCUGAAAUUUCCAAGCUAGCAGUAACAAUCUCAAGAACAAAGGUUGCUAGAGCAAGAAGCAGCUGUCCAAAACAUCCCACACAGGGCACAUCCCGCGGGAAGUCAAAGAGAGGGUGUCAGUUUGGCCCAAAAUACUAAGUGUGCACAGUUUCACCACGUUGUCUUAGAACCACACGCGUGUCAUACAACAUGACUACCAGCAUCACCUAGAAGCUUGUUAGAAUUGCAAAACCUCAAGUCCCACCCUAGACCUUCUAAAUCAGAAUAUUAAUUUUAACAAGCUCACAGAUGAAUUAUAUACACAGCAAAUUCUGAGAAGCCAUUGUCUAUAACUUUUCUAAAAUCUUUGAUAAACAUAUAGGUAAUCACAGUAAUGCUAACUUCAAUAAAGAAAAGUACUGCACCUCUGCAAAGUCCCUCAGGCUGUACCAGAUACUGAGAAGACCACUGAGACCUCUAGGAUGUAUUCUCUACCCUCUAAGUUUGAUCAGCAUAGUUGUUGCUGGGAAGAUUUUUUUUUUUUUUUUGCAAUUAUAGUUUAGAUGCUAAAGGAAAGUUGUUUAACUCUGAUUUUCUGUCAUUUGGAGCUUGUCAAUCAAUUGCAAGUGAAUGAUACUUACCAUUCAACUCAGGCUUCUAGACACCAUUGUCAGCAGAGGAGGGCAGCCCAAGCUGGCCACAGAGUAAGCAGAUGUCACACCAGCUGCCUACACCGAGACUUGCCUUUUAAAAAAUUUAUUUAUUUAUUGUAAUUGGAGAAUAAUUUCUUUACAAUAUUGUGAUGGCUUUUUCCAUACUUCAAUACGAACCCAGCAUAGGUAUACAUGCGUCCCCUCCAUCCUGAACCCCUGUCCCACCUUCCUACCCAUUCCAUCCCUCUGUGACAAUCUUGAAGACUUGCCUUUUUUAAACUUGGUUUUAAUAUUUUCAACACCCUAACCUCUGUCCAUGGAAUUCUCCAGAUAAGAAUACUGGAGUAGGUUGCCAUUCCUUUCUCCAAGGGAUCUUCCAGACCCAGGGGUCAAACCCAGGUCUCCUGUAUUACAGGCAGAUUCUUUACUGUCUGAGCCACCAAGAAAGCCCUAUUUUAUUCUUACCCAUAAGUUUUUGUCUCUUGCUCAGUGCUUUUGCAACUGGAAAUCAGUCCUUAAAGUCAACGUGAGCGCGUUUGGGCAGCAGGGCAGCCUGAGCCCUUCCAUCUCCCUGGGCACUGCCUCUCCUGCUAUGAUAAGCAGCGUGUGGGCUUGGGUUCAAAUGCUCACUUGAUGCUUUCUACUGCAUGGUCCUCAGCAAGCUCCUCACCCCUCUGAGCCUCAGUUCCUCCCGUUUAAGAAAGAGUGAGUUACUGUAUCCACUUCAGACGGCACUGUCAAUUAAAUGAGCUAACAAUGAAAAGCAUUAAAGGCUCCUAGCAAGGAGCAAGUGUACAAUAAACAUUGUGUGUGUGUUUGUUAGGGUGUGUUCCACCCUCAGUCAUGUCUGACUGUUUGCAACCCCAUGGACUCUAGCCCACCAGCCUCCUCUGUCCAUGGGAUUUCCCAGGCAAGAACACUGGAGGGGAUAGCCAUUUGCUUUUCUAGGGGAUCUUCCUGACCCAGGGAUUGAACCUGAGUCUCCAGCACUGUAUGAAGAUUCUUUACAAUCUGAGCCACCAGGUAAAGCUAUAUAAUUUUGUCAAAAUUUUUUCUUGGCAAUAAAGUUUCAAAGGUAUGUUACCUUCUUAGACAAGCUUCAAUAUUUUCCAAAUUUCACUUGUUUUAUGUUUUUUAUUGCUUUCAAGUAUAUUUGUAAACUUUCUAAAACUAAAUAUGACUGAAGAAAUACCUGUGCAGAGCCAUAGACCAAAUAUAUGUAUAUAUAUUUG
ensembl:lncRNA